rnacentral:rRNA from 1 species
UCUGGUUGAUCCUGCCAGUAGUCAUAUGCUUGUCUCAAAGAUUAAGCCAUGCAUGUCUAAGUACAAACCUUAAUACGGUGAAACCGCGAAUGGCUCAUUAAAUCAGCUAUGGUUCCUUAGAUCGUCUCAUCCUACUCGGAUAACUGUGGAAAAUCUAGAGCUAAUACGUGCUUACAAGCCCUGACCUCACGGGAGGGGCGCAUUUAUUAGAUCAAAACCAAUCGGGCUUGCCCCGUCUGCUUGGUGACUCUGGAUAACUUUUGUGCUGAUCGCAUGGCCUCUGCGCUGGCGACGUAUCUUUCAAGUGUCUGCCCUAUCAACUUACGAUGGUAGGUGAUAUGCCUACCAUGGUUAUAACGGGUAACGGGGAAUCAGGGUUCGAUUCCGGAGAGGGAGCCUGAGAAACGGCUACCACAUCUAAGGAAGGCAGCAGGCGCGCAAAUUACCCACUCCCGGCACGGGGAGGUAGUGACGAAAAAUAACGAUACGGGACUCUUUUGAGGCCCCGUAAUUGGAAUGAGUACACUUUAAAUCCGUUAACAAGUAUCUAUUGGAGGGCAAGUCUGGUGCCAGCAGCCGCGGUAAUUCCAGCUCCAAUAGCGUAUAUUAAUGUUGCUGCAGUUAAAAAGCUCGUAGUUGGAUCUGAGGACUCGAAUUGGUGGUGCACCAUACGGUGUUACUGCCGAUUCGGCCUACCUAGUCGGUGCUCGCUCUUGGUGUUCUUAAUUGAAUGCCCUGAGUGCCCGGCAAGUUUACUUUGAAAAAAUUAGAGUGCUCAAAGCAGGCCAUUAGCCGGAAUACUUCAGCAUGGAAUAAUGGAAUAGGACUUCGGUUCUAUUUUGUUGGUUUUCGGAACCCGAGGUAAUGAUUAAGAGAGACAGACGGGGGCAUUCGUACUGCGGUGUUAGAGGUGAAAUUCUUGGAUCGCCGCAAGACGAACAACUGCGAAAGCAUUUGCCAAGAAUGUUUUCAUUAAUCAAGAACGAAAGUCAGAGGUUCGAAGACGAUCAGAUACCGUCCUAGUUCUGACCAUAAACGAUGCCAACUGGCGAUCCGAGAUCGUUUGCUUAUUGACCUCUCGGGCAGCCUCCGGGAAACCAAAGUUUUUAGGUUCCGGGGGAAGUAUGGUUGCAAAGCUGGGGAGCUUUGGUGUACCCACCUGGAAGUGCCCAAGGGGUCCUAUCCCUGCACUCCAUCCCCGAUUGGAGUCAGGUGACGGCUCCUUACCUCACCAGACGCGGCCGGACCCCGGAAGGGGUCUGGGCCCCGAAGCCUGACGGCGUCGGGGUGCAGGAAGCCUCUAGGCGACCAGCCCAGCCGUGCAGAAAUGCAGUAGGCCUUUAUCUGGCUAUUAACGGUAAAUUCACCGGGCCAGUGUCUGACCGAGGUUUUGUGGCACCUUGCUAGGCAAGAGGGUGGACCAGGCAGGGGCGGUUGUAUCCGAAAGGUCGCCGUCUCCCUCCGUUUUGCCUGGCUCCGCAAGGGGCGUGUCUACGUCUCCUGCUGUGGGACUCGCCGUCUCCUGUUCUCAGUUGACGGGCCAGCAGCCUAACGGCGGCUGUUGUGGCGACCUACCGGAAGCUACACGAGAGCGGGCCUAAAGGCCGCCCCGCAGUUGGGGGCGGAGACCGCCGCCCCCCAAACCCCCACGGUACACU